rnacentral:rRNA from 1 species
GACGAACGCUGGCGGCGUGCUUAACACAUGCAAGUCGAGCGGUAAGGCCCUUUCGGGGUACGACGAGCGGCGAACGGGUGAGUAACACGUGGGUGACCUGCCCGCCAGCUCUGGGAGUAAGCCUGGGAAACCGGGUACUAAUACCGGAUAUGACUCCAUGACGCAUGUUGUGGGGUGGAAAGCCUUGUGCGGCUGAGGAUGGGCCCGCGGCCUAUCAGCUUGUUGGUGGGGUGAUGGCCUACCAAGGCGACGACGGGUAGCCGGCCUGAGAGGGCGACCGGCC